rnacentral:rRNA from 1 species
AGAGUUUGAUCAUGGCUCAGAAUCAACGCUGGCGGCGCGCUUAACACAUGCAAGUCGCACGAGAAAGUGGAGCAAUCCAUGAGUACAGUGGCGUACGGGUGAGUAACACGUGGAUCAUCUACCUCUUGGUGGGGAAUAACCCUGGGAAACCGGGGCUAAUACCGCAUAAGCCUGCAAAGGGAAAGCAGCAAUGCGCCGAGAGAGGAGUCCGCGGCCGAUUAGCUGGUUGGUAGGGUAAUGGCCUACCAAGGCAAUGAUCGGUAGCCGGCCUGAGAGGGCACACGGCCACACUGGCACUGAAACACGGGCCAGACUCCUACGGGAGGCAGCAGUGGGGAAUCUUGCACAAUGGGGGAAACCCUGAUGCAGCGACGCCGCGUGAGCGAUGAAGCCCUUCGGGGUGUAAAGCUCUUUCGGCAGGAACGAUAAUGACGGUACCUGCAGAAGAAGCUGCGGCUAACUACGUGCCAGCAGCCGCGGUAAUACGUAGGCAGCAAGCGUUGUUCGGAAUUACUGGGCGUAAAGAGUGUGUAGGCGGUUCUCUAAGUUCCGUGUGAAAUCUCCCGGCUUAACUGGGAGGGUGCGCGGAAGACUGGAGGGCUGGAGUAUGGGAGAGGAAAGCGGAAUUCCUGGUGUAGCGGUGAAAUGCGUAGAUAUCAGGAGGAACACCUGCGGUGUAGACAGCUUUCUGGACCAUCACUGACGCUGAGACACGAAAGCGUGGGUAGCAAACAGGAUUAGAUACCCUAGUAGUCC